UAAAUGAAAGUUUGAUUCGUUAUAUAAUUAUAAAAUCAUUUUUGGAGACUGAUGUGAAUUUUCUUACUUCAUUAAAGAAUGAUUCUUCGGGCUCAACAGCGUGUUGCGCCUUUUUCCGAAACAAAAUCAACGGCGGUCUUCAGUUAGUUAUUGCUAACUUAGGAGAUACGCGUGCCGUUUUGUGCAAAAAUAAAAGUGCUGUUCGAAUCUCUACGGAUCACAGGCCUGAUCUUCUCCAGGAGAAAACAAGAAUCAAAGAGUUAGGAGGGAAUGUGGGCACAUUUCAAGGGGUGGCCCGCGUGUGGCGUGAUAUUCCUUUGACCAAUCAACGUUGUCUAUUGGCCGUAACGCGUUCUUUUGGAGAUAUCAAUUUGAAGCCGAACAUUAAUCUCCCCAUCGUCAGCAAUGAG